AUACUGUAGAGGCAGCAAGUGAACUUGUCUGGUGACAGUGGUGAGUAUGAAAUGAAGCAAUCAGUGGUCAUCAGAGACAUAAUUAAGGCAAACCCUCCAACAGCAAAUGGCAUGCUCCUCCCUUCUCCCUUGUUGUUUUACUUGCAACAAUAAACUAUAUCAAUCAAUCAUCAUUCAUAGGAAUACUAUCGAAGAGCUAUUUUUCUCCCAUUUUCGGACACUGCUAUAGCACAACUCAGGGAAAGGUUUGCAUCCGAACACAUUAGGAGUUUUUGUUGAGAAAUCAAAGUAUCGUUAGUUUUGUGGGUGGGACAUUUUUUUGCCUGAAAUCGGGAAAAAUGAGCAGGUGAGUACGACACUUUGGCAACGUUGCGAGCAGCGUUGCCAUAUUGUCGUACUCAGAACUUCGCAUUUUCCUGUUUCUGACCCAUAACAAUUGCAGAUAAACAUCGAUAAUUAACCAUCUGAACUCUAGUUGUGAAUGUAUAUCGUUAUCAGUGUAGGCUCAGCAGUUUUGGGCCUCAAGCAGAAGAAAAAGUUAUGCCCAGUACGACAAUAUGGUAACGCUGGUUGUGAACUUGCGACGUUGCGAGUCAGUGCUCCGUCCAUCACCACCGAGGUUGGACGUACGGCCGUGCUCUCCCUCCUCCUCCACCUCCUGAGUAUUCCUGGCGGGCAGCGAUGAGCAAGCAGAAGAGACGCAACGCCUUCUUCUACUUCAUGAUGGCCAAGAAACCCGAGGUGGAGAAGCGGCUCAAGAGAAAGGUGGAGAUGGCCAAGCUGGUGACGGCGGAGUGGCAGCCAUCGUGCUGCCUCGGCCAGGAAGCACUCGCUGGAGACUCACAAGCUGCUGGGUGAAUCGGAGGACUUCGGGAACAGCCUUGAGGAAACUGCCGAGAAUCUGAAGCAGCUCUUGUCCAAGUGAUGAUGCUCCCAGCCAGGACUGGGAUGAGGACGUCCCUGUCCACACCCUGCAGCGCAAUAAGCACACCACAUGUUGAACACUGUCACAGGGACCGUACCGGUUGAUGUACUUGGCGGCAGUGAGUGACAUCCCCCUGUCCGUGGCCACUGACAUGCUGGAAGAGUGUGGCCUGGACUACCUCCCCAACACAGCCUGCUCGAGGGACCAUUAAGAAACAUGAUCCCCACCGACGAUCUAUUCACCCGUCUUUUGCAGCAGCAGCAGCAGCAUCGUUGAGGCGGGAUGCAGCGUGCUCUGAGGCGACCCCGGGCAGGAGGCAACAUGUGACCUCGAGCACCAGACCUUUUACCUCUAUUCAGGAGCAAUCGUGUAACUGAUGGAGGCUGGCACAGGAAGUUGCUGAUAUGUGGGCUAUGGCUGACUGGCUGGUGCUGUCUGGUCACUCAGCUCAGCAAGGGACUGGAAGCUGGAACUCUCUCUAUCUC